GAUGAACGCUGGCGGCGUGCUUAACACAUGCAAGUCGAACGGAGUACCCCUGAAGGAGUUUUCGGACAACUGAUGGGACUACUUAGUGGCGGACGGGUGAGUAACGCGUGAGUAACCUGCCUUGGAGUGGGGAAUAACAGCUGGAAACAGCUGCUAAUACCGCAUAAUAUAUCUGUGUCGCAUGGCACUGGAUAUCAAAGAUUUAUCGCUCUGAGAUGGACUCGCGUCUGAUUAGCUGGUUGGCGGGGUAACGGCCCACCAAGGCGACGAUCAGUAGCCGGACUGAGAGGUUGGCCGGCCACAUUGGGACUGAGACACGGCCCAG
rnacentral:rRNA from 1 species